CUCGAACUCCUGGGCUCAAGCUAUACUCCCAUCUCAACCUCCCGAGUAGCUGGGAUUACAGACGCGCGCCACCGUCUGACUAAUUUUUGUAUUUUUUGUAGAGAUGGGGUGUGAGGUGGGGGGGUGGAGGCUGGUCUCGAACUUCUGCCCUUAGGCGAUCCUCCCGCCUGGGCAUCCCACAUCGCUGGGAUUCCAGGCAUGAACUCAGUGGGCGCCUCCGUCUUCUAACUUCUGGCUGAGCCAGAAGAUGAUUGAGGGAGAAGGAGGACUUCCGGUUUUAAAAUGGCGGCUUGACUUCCCCGCCCCCCAGAAAGCCAAAAACAAAUAUGCAGCCCGGAGAUUUUCCUCAGCGAGAAUCCGAAGCUCAGAUUUGAGGAUGAGACAGAUCCUGGGACCACGGAGAAGUGAAAAUCUUCCGAGCAGGCGAAUCUUGCUGUGUUGCCCAGGCAGGAAUGCAGUGGUGCAAUCACGGCUCACUGCAGCCUCUACCUCCUAGGCUCAAGCAAUCCUCAGCCUCCUGAGAGUAGCUGGGACUACAGGUAUGUGUCACCACACCCAGCUAAUUUUUUCAUUUUGUUGUAGAGAUAAGGUCUUGCUUAAAAUACCUUUAUAAGCCAGGCACAAAAACACAUACUUUGCAUGUUCUCAUUUGUGGGAGCUAAAAAUUAAAACAAUUGAACAACUCAUGGAGCUAGAGAGUAGAACCAUGGUAUGAGAGGUUAGGAAGGAUAGUGGGGAGGGUAGUGGGGUUAAUGAGUAUAACAAUAUACUUGGAUAGAAUGGAUAAGAUCUAGCAUUUGAUAGUACAACAGGGUAACUACAGUCAACAAUAAUUUAUUGUACAUUUAAAAACAGCUAAAAGAGGCCGGGUGCAGUGGCUCACGCCUGUAAUCCUGGCACUUUGGGAGACUGAGGCGGGUGGAUCACCUGAGGUCAGGAGUUCGAGACCAGCCUGGCCAACAUGGUGAAACCCCAUCUCUACAAAAAAUACAAAAAUUAGGCCGGGCGCGAUGGCUCACGCCUGUAAUCCUAGCACUUUGGGAGGCUGAGAUGGGCGGAACAGGAGGUCAGGAGAUCGAGACUAUCCUGGCUAACAUGGUGAAACCCCGUCUCUACUAAAAAUACAAAAAAAAUUAUCUGGGUGUGGUG
rnacentral:lncRNA from 1 species